rnacentral:lncRNA from 1 species
UGUAGUAAUUCACAGUAAGACUUAACCACUUGCCUUCUCCAUCAGGAUUGGCUAGCUGAUGAUCGGCAACAACUUUGAACACGUUUUGAGCAUUUGGCGUCAAACUCUGUAAAACUAUUGAAGCCGUCUUCACAGUUUGUGUGCUGCCACUGUGAGCUAGAAUCGGAGGAAAGAAUAUUCCUUCGACCUUGUAGGGUGCAUAGGUAGGAACGUGGUACCAGUACCAAUUGAACUCGGUGUGUACCAUCUUCUUGUUCCAUACUGGUAGAAGCAAUGAAAAAUAUUCAAGAACAACAUUUCCCUAUAUAUAUAUAUCAUCAACAACAGAACUACAAAAUGAGAAGAAACUUACAUAAAGGUGCAUUCACAUGAUCAAUGGAAGCCACCAUGAGAAUAUGAGAACAAGCUGCAAGUCUAGCCAGAAAUUGCUGAGACUCUGAAUCACGCAAACAGGGCCCGUCAAUAUUGUUCACCACAACACAAAUAAAAGAUUCACCAUCCUCCAAAUGUGGGCCAUCCAGAAAUGAAAUAAGAUCAUCCGUGGAUUGGGUAUGAAAUGGUUGCUGGUUCUUAACAUGAUUUUCCAAUUUCCUUUGGGUUUUCAACCGCUCCCACAGAAGUUCAGCUAAUGUAACUGUAACCUACAAAUUCCACAUCCAUGAAUUGUUUAGCAUUGUGAGGAUACUGAAAAUUUAUCUUCAAGUCAUCCAUAAAAAGAAUCAGUAUGGAGACAACCAUAUAAAAGUAGUGAAAAAACAUACAUAGGGGAUCCCCGUGUUCUGAUAGAACUGUAACAUUACUCUACAUAACCAGUUAUUAUAAAUGUUGAAUAUCUUAUAAAGAUGAAAUACAAAGAGCAUAGAUGAAAUUACGAUAAUUGUAAAGGGAAGUUACAAGAAAAGGAUGCCAAAUUAAGUUUUAAUUUAGACUACCCAAAAUUUGGUAUUCCUGACUUAAGAUAAUGUUUCCUCUGAACAGUCUUAGACUCGGGCACAAUUUUUUGGCACAGCAAUACAUGGUAAUAUUUCUAGUCGAUCGAGAAAUUCUAUUGGUGGUCAUGUUUUUUUACCAUACCCUUACCCAAAUGUUGUCCAAGGUAGUGAGUGUAUUUCUUCAACAUUUUCAAGAAGGUCCUCAGGCAUAGUUAAUAGCAAGCACACCUAAGUAAGUAUAAAACUCUUAUACAUACCAAAAAGUUUUUACUCAUUUAACUAGCUAACAAUGAUAUAUUAGACCUUUGUGAAAGAGAGGAAUGUUGAAGUAACAUUAACGAUUAUAGAAGCAUUAAGUAGCUAGAAAAUUGUCGUUAUCAUCGAAUUGCUGCCAAAUUUUUCACAGGGUUAGUACUUGAGAAGUUGAUGGGGAAGAAGAGUCAAAGAGCAUCCUGUUGUUAUGUCCUGAAAGGAAUUUAGAAGGUCCUUGAAUUCAUAUUGUAAGAGUCAAAGUUUCAUUGCAAUAGUUCCCCAAUUAAAUUACUUCAGCAGAUAAAGAAGACAUCCUGCAGCUUGACCACAAAAACUGCAAUUUGUAACAUCUGUGUUUUGUAAUUUGUCUGGUAAGAUGUUCCAAUAUUUAAGUAUUAAAUCAUACUAACAACAAAGAUGAUAGCAAAAUGAUCAGUCAAUUCAUUGUAGUUUAAGAUCCAUUACUAGUUGAUUACAACCAUUUAAACAAAAUCUUUGUACAGUCUUACCCUCAUUUUCUUUCCCAAAAAAGUAGAAUUAUUUAAAUUAUCUGCAUAAAAAUGAAAUAAAAAUAUCUUCAUUUGCAUUUAUUUCAGCUAUACGGUCUUUGAUUUCUCUUGUACAGUUAACUUCACUAAAACCCGCAGUUCAAGAUCUAGAAUGAGGUUACAAUCCAUUGCCAAUCAACUACUAUUUUUCCCCGAAGGAUGAGAAGAUGAGAACAAAAUGCGAACAACUUGCCACCAGAAAUCCAUGUUACAACUGAGUUAUGUUUAGUUAAUCUUCAUAAUCCAGCCAACAUCUUCACAUCAAAUUAAAUGAAGAACAAAUGUGUAAAGAGACAAGAAGAUAAUGAAUGAUUACCCAUGACCAAUAACACAAAGAUAUAACAGAAAACAAGCAUAAAAAGGUGAGAUUAUAAAGUAACAACAUCAUUAUCCGUACCUGUUUAAGAUUGAUUGACUGAAGAUAUCCAUUGAUCACUACAACAGAAUAAUCAGUUAAUGCNGCAAGGGAAAAAAACAUCACAUUUGUUAUGCAAAGGCAUAUGUAGUAAUUCACAGUAAGUACUUAACCACUUGCCUUCUCCAUCAGGAUUGGCUAGCUGAUGAUCGGCAACAACUUUGAACACGUUUUGAGCAUUUGGCGUCAAACUCUGUAAAACUAUUGAAGCCGUUCUUCACAGUUUUGUGUGCUGCCACUGUGAGCUAGAAUCGGAGGAAAGAAUAUUCCUUCGACCUUGUAGGGUGCAUAGGUAGGAACGUGGUACCAGUACCAAUUGAACUCGGUGUGUACCAUCUUCUUGUUCCAUACUGGUAG